rnacentral:rRNA from 1 species
UACACGUGGAUAACCUGCCCUUGAGACGGGGAUAACCCGGGAAACUGGGUAUAAUACCCGAUAGAUCUCGGCUGCUGGAAUGCACCGAGUUCUAAAGCUCCGGCGCUCAAGGAUGGAUCUGCGGCCUAUCAGGUAGUAGUGGGUGUAGCGUACCUACUAGCCUACGACGGGUACGGGUUGUGAGAGCAAGAGCCCGGAGAUGGAUUCUGAGACACGAAUCCAGGCCCUACGGGGUGCAGCAGGCGCGAAAACUUUACAAUGCUGGAAACAGCGAUAAGGGGACCUCGAGUGCCAGGUUACAAAUCUGGCUGUCGUGAUGCCUAAAAAGCAUUGCAUAGCAAGGGCCGGGCAAGACCGGUGCCAGCCGCCGCGGUAACACCGGCGGCUCGAGUGGUAACCGUUAUUAUUGGGUCUAAAGGGUCUGUAGCCGGCCGGAUAAGUCUCUUGGGAAAUCUGGCAGCUUAACUGUCAGGCUUUCAGGAGAUACUGUCUGGCUCGAGGCCGGGAGAGGUGAGAGGUACUUCAGGGGUAGGGGUGAAAUCUUGUAAUCCUUGAAGGACCACCAGUGGCGAAGGCGUCUCACCAGAACGGACCUGACGGCAAGGGACGAAAGCUAGGGGCACGAACCGGAUUAGAUACCCGGGUAGUCCUAGCCGUAAACGAUACUCGCUAGGUGUCGGCCACGGUGCGACCGUUGUCGGUGCCGUAGGGAAGCCGUGAAGCGAGCCACCUGGGAAGUACGGCCGCAAGGCUGAAACUUAAAGGAAUUGGCGGGGGAGCACCACAACGGGUGGAGCUUGCGGUUUAAUUGGAUUCAACGCCGGAAAUCUUACCGGGACCGACAGCAAUAUGAAGGCCAGGCUGAGGACUUUGCCGGAUUAGCU